GGGCCUGGCUGUGCUUUGGCGGGCCCAGGGCAGCAGGGAUAAUUUCCCAGGCCUUGGUGGGAAAAAUGGGCCCUGGCCCUGGGCCCAGGCUGGGUGUGGGAAUUCUGUCUUGCAUGGAUGGUCAGGAUGGAUGACACCAGGGCUAUGGGAAGAGAAGCUGACAGAUGAGCCUGUGAGGGGUAGCAGGCCGAGCCACAGUCAUCCACACAGCCCAGUUGAGGGUUGGGUGGGGGGUGGACCCCAGCUGGCCCAUGACUGAGCAGUGGUGGGAAGACUGGCCGGACAUAUGUCAGGCUGGGGCAGGGACCCCUCAGUUCUCCUGUCCCUAGCCUUCCUCUGUCUGAGCCCUAGGGCUGGCAUUCUGGGGUGACCCAAUUCCCAGGGACCCUCUAGGGACUUUGACUGCCAUCCCCCCUCCCCUGUCUAAGGCUUUAUGGCAAGUGGGCAGCACUUUGUCUAGGGGGUGGAACUGUUCGCAGUAGAGGGAAGGGCCUAGGCCCCUUGAAAGCUCCACUCUCUGUCCUGAUGUCCUGGGGCUAAGGACGGUUCAGUGGUGUGUGUGUGUGUGUGUACACCUGUCUGCAUGCAUGUGUAUGUGUUGUGGGGAGGCAGUUGUCCCAGUGGAAGUGGGCUUUUGGACAUUUAGAUCAGCGUCCCUGUAGUUGCAUUCUGUGCCCUGAAGGAUUCUGGGAGUUGGCACUAAGAGCCAGGCCCAGAGCAGCCUGGGAAAUCAUGGGAACUGGUGAGAACAGGCUGGAAGGGUGUGGCUGCAGCAGCUGGAAUGUGUAGGCGGGAACCAGCCUCACCCUCCCUUAUCCAGGAAUGGGCUUUGGCUGGGGAGCCAGGACCCAGCACCUUCCCUGAGCUGUCCCGGCUCUGUUCUCCCAGGCCUCCAGACCCCAGCUGCACUCCAUUGGUGCACCCCCAAACCCCUCACUCCAUGCUGGGCUAGAGCUAGCAGCCUGGCUGGGGUGGGGGUCGGGGGUGCUCUUUGGGAGAAGCUGGCAGGUUUUCCUAAAGAUUCCUGGGUUCUUGGUGUUCUGUAUUUGUUUCUAACCCUUUGCACAGACCAACCCUCUGUUACUCAUGGGGGACUCAUUCUGACGAGUUAAGGGAGCACACGACUGCACCUGUUGGGGGUUCCCUGGACUAGCGGAUUGGGUUUCUGGGCUGUCUCUACUCCUGGGACGGGGGCUGAGCGCACCCACCAGUCCUGGAGUUUCUGGGCACUUGCUGUUGGUCUCUGCAGAACGGCUCUGUCCUCUCCUGUUCUGUUGGGUUGAUUAAGGCACACUGGCCCCUGCCAGCCUCUCCAGGCCCAGCUCUUGUCUCUGCCUCCCCAGCCAACUCUCCUUGCCAGGUGGGUGAGGACCCCUUGAAGGCCCGGAAGUGGCAGGGGGCCUGCUUUGUUUGCUGCCCCAUCUCUUGCAGAGGCCUCUGUCCUCACCAGCUGGGAGCUCCGGGUGCCGGCUGGGAGUCUGGGGCAUAGGCUAUGAGUCGGGGGCCUGUGCACAUGCCACGCGCCUGCCUGGGAGCCCAGCGUCCACCUGUGAGCCCUGUGUGUACAGGUCCCUGCUCAGAGCCCUUCCCCAGCUGUCCUGCUCCUCAGGCUAUGCCGAGGCCCCUGUAAGGUGCAUACUCAGCCCCAUAUGCUCAGGCUCCCAUAGCGCCCUGCUCAGGCACCCUGCGAGGCCCAAGGGCCUCCUCUGAGCUUCCCAAGAUCAGGGCCUGCUGUGUCCCUGUCAUGUCCCCAGGCCCUCCCUUGUGUAGUCAGGGAGAGAAUGAACUAACGAAUGGGUGCAGGAAAUCUGGGGAGUUCCUCUGCAUUUGGACUUGCAAAGGGCUGUCACAUGACCCUGGCCCGGCUUUUGCUUCCUCCAGUCUGAGGAAAAGCCUCCCUCUAACCUUGGGGUUGGGGUCUCCUGGAAGAUUCCAGAGAUCUGUCUUGAGGUCAAGGAGGGCCAAGUUCCUUCCCACCAGGACUCAAGGUUAAUAGCUAGUGUGUGAGUGGCAAUGACUGCUUUGUGUGAAUGAGAGCAUAAAGUGUGGGCAGUGAGAGGCUGUGUGAAGGUGCACAAGUGUGCAAGAGUGUGCCUGUGUGUGAAAGUGUGAGUCUGUGAAUGAGUAUUAGUGAGGCUGUGCAAGUCUGUAUGAAUGUGUGAGUGUGGAUAUGAGGGAGUGUGAGUGUGUAUGGGCUUGUGAAUGUGAGGGUGUGUAAGCCUGUGGGUGGGAAUGCGUGUGAGUCUGUGUGAAUAUGCAUGUGAGUGGAUUGUGAGUAUGAGAGUCUGUCAAUGUGUAGUAAUGUGUGUGAGGGUGUAUGAGUCUAUGAAUGCGUGUGUACAUCUGUGAUUAUGAAUGUGUGAGUCUAUGAGUGUAUGCGAGUGUGAUUCAGUGAGAGCUGUGGCUAAGUGUGUGAAUGUGGGCAUCUGAGCGCGUGUAUAUGAAUGUGUAAGAGUAUGAAUGACUGAGUGUAUUACUUGUGAGACUGUGAAUGGGAGAGUGUGAAUGUGUGUGAGCUCCAUGUAAAUGUGUGAGCGUGUAUGAGUCUAGGAGUGUGUGAAUAUGUCAGUCUGAGAGCAGGUGACUACGUGCACUGAGAGCAGGUGAUUCCGUGUGAAUGCCUGUGAGCUGUGUAUGAGUCUGAGAGUGUGUGAAUGUGCAUGUGAGCUGUGCGUAGAUGUGCGGUUUAUCCAGGAGGGAGGGUGGUGGGGGACCCAGGGCAGAAGACGCUGGGCUCUGCCUUCCUCAGGGCCAUGGUCGACACCAGUCAGGGAAGCUCAGAGCCCUCGCAGGAGUUCUGGCCGACUUAGGGAGUUGGGAGGCUCACUUUUCCCCAGAGGAGGUUACUUCGAGGGGUGAGUGGUCUUUCCCUGUUCUAGAGAGAGCUCAGAGGCCAUUUUUUAUUUAAAGAAAGUAAUAAUGAAUAGAUUUAAAAUAAUACCUACAAAACGUGGGUAGAAUUUAAGAAUUAAGAUACAACAAACACCCGUGAACCCACCACCCAAUUUUAGAAACUUUGAGGAGUGCCCCUUCCCGUGCCGGUCCUCCACCCCACAGUGUACGAAGCACUAGCCUGGAUUUUGGGUUGUUAUUCCCUUGCUUUCACUGUCGAUCUGAAGGCACUCUGGGCGCUGAGCCUUCUGUGCUUCGGAGCCAACGAGGCCCGGACUCCACCCGCUGCGCCAAAGAAGCUCAGUGCUGCCCUCUGGGGGUAACGAAUAGUGGCUGCCCCAGCUCAGAGCCAGCCGGCAGCCUGGGUGAGGCGCCCCACCCAGGUCACCCAGCAGCGACCCCAUAGAUGUGGACACAUGUGCUGUAGGACAUGUGGCACGCCUGGACGCAGAUGCGUACACUGGCCAUUCGCACGGAUUUGCACAUAGACGCAUGGAGUGGGCGCCGUACUCUGGGGCAUCCCAACAGGAGUGAGCCCACAGCAGCUACUGUCCCCAGGAGUCGGCGGCAAGGAGGGCUGGUCUCCGCGGAGUGGAGAGUGCCCUCCCUUAGAGAACCUCACGCCCAGGGCUGGGGGAAGCUGGGUAGGCAUGUUGACUUUGGGGUGAGCAGUUUAAUAAAUAGAACGACCUAUGGUGGGAGGCGCAGGAGGUCUUUGCGCCAGAGGCAGGGAAGGAUUUUUUUGUUUUGUUUUUUUGAGAUGGAGAAGAGAGGAGAGGCAUGACAAAAUGCGCAGGCUGGCUUCAGAAAGGAAUUCCAAGUUUUUGAGAAAUUUCAUGGCCUAGAGGCAGGGGAAUGGAUACAAUGGCCCAGCCUGGGCCUUUGUUGUUACGAGGUCAUGGGACUAGAGGAGCAGGAGCUAAAUGUAGCGAGGAGCCGGGGCCCGUGUGGCGCGCAGGUGACGGAUGUCUGGAGUCCCCGGGUUUCUCCCUCAGCCUCAGGCGCAGGAGAGGAGCACAGGUGCGUAGCCUCGGAUGGUCAGCAGAGGGCGCUCCUGGUACAGAUUUGAGGCUCCAGCCUGUUGUCUCCUAGGAUCGUUCUUGGAAAGCACCGGGGCCUGGACUCCGAUGGAAGCAUUCUGGAUUCCCCUUUGGAAGCUAUAAGCCCGGGCCUGAGAAGACACGCCUUAUGAGGUAGUGAGCUAGAAAUGACCCCCAGAAAUGUGACCAGCCUCGUUGGCCUUCCUCUGGCGGCUGUGAUCUGUCAGGGUUAGCCAGUCUUUCUGGUUGGUGGCCAGGACACAGCCAGGUCCUGCUGGCUCAGACGAGGUGCGGACAGCCACAACUCCUUGGCGGGGCCGGGGUGGCUGCGGAGGAGAAAUUCCCUUCAGCUGUGAUGCCUCCUUCCCCCUCCUGACGUCGCCACGCAGGCAGAGGCACCUUGAACUCAGGAUUCCCUCAUGCACUCAUUUUUACAGUUAUUGGGCAGCAUUUCCGUGCCGUUUGUGGGGACAGAGAGAAGAAGGAGGCGGGAUCCUGGCCCAUGUCUACAGGAGGAGACAUACCAUGUCAACAGGAAAUCCUCUGUUUCGAAGAAGACACUACAAUGGAAGACCAAUGGCCAAAAAUGCAUUUGCAACCCUUGUGCCAAAGGCCUUGUUCGCACAUUUACCAAAAGCCCACAGAAGUCAGGAAGGAAACCUGACACCACAAAGGAGGUAAAGAGGAACAGUUGGUUCAUAAGAAAGAAGAAAGAAAAGGAAGGGCCAAAACAUGCAGGGAUUGGUGGUCCAUCUCACAUGAUUAAAGAAAUGGAACCUGAAACAAGAGAGAGGACUUUUCUACGACCAAAAAAAUGAAAAUUGGAAAACCACAAUAGCAACAGAUGAGCCUUCAGAUCCCAGUGAGACCCACUGCGGUGGGCCUGUUGGGGGGACAGUUACUCUCACUCAGGGUUGGUGGGAGUGAAAUGUCGUAGCACGUUUCAGGAAGACUUGAAAUUUUCACUGUGGGGAAUUUCAAAUAUGCACACAAAUAGAGAGAACAGCAAAACAGACUCCUAGUACCCAUCAUCCCAUUUUUGUAGCUGUCAACAUGCUGCCAUCCCUGUUCCUUGUUGGGGAGGUUACAGUAUUUUAAAGCGAACCCCAGAUUUCAUUUCAUUUUACUCUGGAAGAAAAUUUGGCAAUAGCUGUCAAAGGAAAAAGUGGAUUUACCUUUUAACUUAGCAAUCCCACUGCUAAAUUUUCCUCUAAGGAGAUAUUUGUAAAUGUUCCCUGCGCUGUGUGUUCAGGGAGGUUUAUUUCACUGCUGUUUGUAAAAGUGGAAAACUCGAGACUGGAGAGGUGGUUGGUAGGGACAGGAGUAAAUAAAUUAUAGCUCAUGGUCAUAAUGAAUUAAAAAGAAUGAGGUGGCUCUCCAAGAGGUAUGAUUAACUGGGAAAUUGAGGCAUUGACCAGAUCGAUAAUAUCUCUUUUGUAUAAUUAAAAUCUCUAUAAAGGACACAUUAAAAAGUCAAA